rnacentral:rRNA from 1 species
UGGGGAAUAUUGCACAAUGGGCGCAAGCCUGAUGCAGCCAUGCCGCGUGUAUGAAGAAGGCCUUCGGGUUGUAAAGUACUUUCAGCGGGGAGGAAGGGAGUAAAGUUAAUACCUUUGCUCAUUGACGUUACCCGCAGAAGAAGCACCGGCUAACUCCGUGCCAGCAGCCGCUGUAAUACGGAGGGUGCAAGCGUUAAUCGGAAUUACUGGGCGUAAAGCGCACGCAGGCGGUUUGUUAAGUCAGAUGUGAAAUCCCCGGGCUCAACCUGGGAACUGCAUCUGAUACUGGCAAGCUUGAGUCUCGUAGAGGGGGGUAGAAUUCCAGGUGUAGCGGUGAAAUGCGUAGAGAUCUGGAGGAAUACCGGUGGCGAAGGCGGCCCCCUGGACGAAGACUGACGCUCAGGUGCGAAAGCGUGGGGAGCAAACAGG